rnacentral:lncRNA from 1 species
CUCCGUCAUCUUAAUUUGACUCUCCCCACAGGAACAACAGAAGAAACAAGUGGAACAUCAGCUGGAAGAAGUAAUGUGAUUUCUUUGUUUCCUUGCGACAUGACUGCUGGGUUUGGGGGGCACUCAGACGUAGAGGCCCCAGUCUCGCCCACUCCCAACCUGGGGAAGAAGGCUCACCCCUUAGAUUGCACCCCAUCCCAACAGGGUCCCUGAUAACCUGGUCCCAUGGGUGGGCCUGUCCUGGGGCAGUGGUGCCAUUCUGGGGGCAUGUCUCUUGCUGUGCCAUCUCUGCCUCCCCCGGUAAGAGCUCUGUCUUCCUCUUUCUGUAGGAAAAGAAGGCAAACAACAAGAAACAGAAAACUGAAAGGGAGCUAGAGGUUCAAAUCCAGAGAUUGAAUAGACAGAUAGAGAAACUAAAUACGGACAUGUAUCACACGGAACGUUCUCUCAGAUACUUUGAAGAAGAGUCCAAGGAUCUGUCUGGCCACCUGCAACAUACAGUGCUGUGUAUAGGAGAGUUAGAGCAGGCUCUCUCUGCUGUCCCCGCCACACAGGAGGAGAAGGAGAUCAGUUUCUCAAGCCGCAGUCAAGCACUUAUUGAAUGGCAGUUAGAGCAGUCCAUACAGGAGAAGGCACGGCUGAAAAAACGCCUGACACGGGUGAGGUUUUGCAGAGGGAGAGAUGUGGAAGGAAAAUGAUCCCAGUGGCCAGGAGCAGGUGAGGACCAGUGA